rnacentral:rRNA from 1 species
UACGUAGGAGGCAAGCGUUGUCCGGAAUCACUGGGCGUAAAGGGCGCGUAGGUGGCCCGGUCAGUUCGUGGUGAAAGCGCGGGGCUCAACCCUGCGUCGGCCAUGAAUACUGCCGCGGCUGGAGCACUGUAGAGGCAGGCGGAAUUCCGGGUGUAGCGGUGGAAUGCGUAGAGAUCCGGAAGAACACCGGUGGCGAAGGCGGCCUGCUGGGCAGUUGCUGGACACUGAGGCGCGA